rnacentral:rRNA from 1 species
CCUACGGGUGGCAGCAGUGAGGAAUAUUGGUCAAUGGUCGUGAGCCUGAACCAGCCAAGUAGCGUGCAGGAUGACUGCCCUACGGGUUGUAAACUUCUUUUAUAAAGGGAUAAAGUGAGUCACGUGUGCCUUUUUGUAUGUACUUUAUGAAUAAGGAUCGGCUAACUCCGUGCCAGCAGCCGCGGUAAUACGGAGGGUCCGAGCGUUAUCCGGAUUUAUUGGGUUUAAAGGGAGCGUAGAUGGAUUGUUAAGUGAGUUGUGAAAGUUUGCGGCUCAACCGUAAAAUUGCAAUUGAUACUGGCAGUCUUGAGUACAGGUGAGGUAGGCGGAAUUCGUGGUGUAGCGGUGAAAUGCUUAGAUAUCACGAAGAACUCCGAUUGCGAAGGCAGCUUACGAAACUGCCACUGACAUUGAUGCUCGAAAGUGUGGGUAUCAAACAGGAUUAGAUACCCGAGUAGUC